rnacentral:sRNA from 1 species
UAUUCUGCCCUACGGGGACGGAUGAGAAGCUUCGACUAAGGUUCGACUCGAGCGUAGCGAGAGAACGUUGCCGCCGGCAACGGCCCGAAGGGCGAGGCGCGUUAGCGCCGAGUCAUCCUUCCCCCACCAUUC